rnacentral:rRNA from 1 species
CUUAGUACGGCGAGUGAGCGGUAAAAGCUCAAAUUUGAAAUCUGGUACUUUCAGUGCCCGAGUUGAAAUUUGUAGAAUUUGUCUUUGAUUAGGUCCUUGUCUAUGUUCCUUGGAACAGGACGUCAUAGAGGGUGAGAAUCCCGUUUGGCGAGGAUACCUUUUCUCUGUAAGACUUUUUCGAAGAGUCGAGUUGUUUGGGAAUGCAGCUCAAAGUGGGUGGUAAAUUCCAUCUAAAGCUAAAUAUUGGCGAGAGACCGAUAGCGAACAAGUACAGUGAUGGAAAGAUGAAAAGAACUUUGAAAAGAGAGUGAAAAAGUACGUGAAAUUGUUGAAAGGGAAGGGCAUUUGAUCAGACAUGGUGUUUUUUGCAUGCACUCGCCUCUCGUGGGCUUGGGCCUCUCAAAAAUUUCACUGGGCCAACAUCAAUUCUGGCAGCAGGAUAAAUCAUUAAGAAUGUAGCUACUUCGGUAGUGUUAUAGCUUUUUGGAAUACUGUUAGCCGGGAUUGAGGACUGCGCUUCGGCAAGGAUGUUGGCAUAAUGGUUAAAUGCCGCCCGUCUUGAAACACGGACCAU